ACGAGAUAUAAAAAAGAUAUGCAGAUGCUGGAAUUCUGAAAUAAAAGCAGAACCUGCUGGAAAUACUCAGUGGGUCAAGCAACAUCUGUGGAAAACAGUUAACAUUUCAGUUUGAGGCUGAAGUGUCUUCAAUCUAAAACAUUACCUCCCAGAGGCUGCCUGAUCUGACAAAUGUUUCCACAACCUGCUGUUCUCACUUCAAGCCUGCAAGUUAAGUUUGAAAAAAGUCUUUGACAAACUACUACUAACUUAUCUGUUGAACUAGAGGAGACAACCCACUUGAAAACUGUUACACUACCAUCAAGUACGCUUGUCAUGCUAUUCCACACCUGCACUUUGGCACGUACAAUUACCUGGCUGCACUUCUACCUCCAGGGUACAACCAGAGACUAAGGACCACAGCACCAGAGGUGAGAACCACGAAGAUAUAGUCAAGGGAGGCGAAGGUACGAUUAGAGGUCUGCUGUGAAUCAGUGAACUGGACAAUACUCAGGGAUUCAACUUUGAAUCUAAAUGAUUAUGCCACAGUCGUCACCAACUUCAUCGGGGCCAGUGUGGAAGAGUAGGUGUCUUUGAGAACACAUUACAUAUACUAAAACCAGAAGCUGUGGAUGAAUCAAGUGAUUUGCAGUCUACUGGGGGCUAGACCAGUGAUCCAUAACAACACAAGAAGUCCAGGUUCGGAGUUCACGAUAAAGAACAUGCAGUUGAUACAAUCAUUGUCCAUUUUGUGGAUGAUGAGGAAGAUGAUUUUUCGACCACAUAAAGCUAUUGAUGAUCUGAUCUUGGACAGAGAAAUUGCAUAUCGCUUUUAAUCCAGUGCGGGGUCCAGAACCAAGGAUACAGUCAACGUAAGUACAGGUGAUACUUAUGCACAGUGAAUGUCAUCACUGAUGAUACUAGGCUGACGACGAUGGUGAGGGGAAGAUGUCAACUGGAGGAAGGAUGGAGGAAAGACAAGUGAAGGAUGAUUCUCUUGGUAGAAUAUAGAAUCAUAGACUGUUUGGUGCAUCUUGUCUGUGCCAAAUCAUAAUCUGCCUAGUCCCAUUGAACUGCAAUCAGACCAUAGCUCUCCAGACCCUUCUCUUUCAUGCAUUCAUCCAAAUUUCUCUUAAAUAUAGCAAUAUAUGUAACAAUAGAGAAAACAAUCUUCUUACAAAUAUGAAAAAAAAUAUAUAUAAUGCACAAAGGACAUAGUCUGUGUGUUGUAUACUCCAAGGUCUAGCCUUGUUUGUAUUUCGCAGUGUACACUUUUACCGAAGAAUAGUAUCCCUUCAAGGCUUCUUUAAAAAAAAUCACCUUAAACA